rnacentral:pre_miRNA from 14 species
UUUUAAAGAUUAGAAGUGAAAGAUCCCCAGAGCGGGGAGACCCUCACUCAAGUCUUGGGAUGACGCAACCUCCCAAGAACUCAUGUAAGACC